rnacentral:rRNA from 1 species
UACGUAGGGAGCAAGCGUUGUCCGGAAUCAUUGGGCGUAAAGCGCGUGUAGGCGGUUACAUAAGUCUGUUGUGAAAGUCGGAGGCUCAACCUUCGAAAGCCGAUGGAUGACGUGUGUGACUUGAGUACGGAAGAGGAGAGUGGAAUUCCUGGUGUAGCGGUGAAAUGCGCAGAUAAUCAGGAGGAACACCCAUUGCGAAGGCAGCUCGCUGGGACGUUACUGACGCUGAGACGCGAAAGCGUGGGGAGCAAACAGG